AGUGAACGCUGGCGGUAGGCCUAACACAUGCAAGUCGAACGGCAGCACAGUAAGAGCUUGCUCUUACGGGUGGCGAGUGGCGGACGGGUGAGGAAUACAUCGGAAUCUACUUUUUCGUGGGGGAUAACGUAGGGAAACUUACGCUAAUACCGCAUACGACCUACGGGUGAAAGCAGGGGAUCUUCUGACCUUGCGCGAUUGAAUGAGCCGAUGUCGGAUUAGCUAGUUGGCGGGGUAAAGGCCCACCAAGGCGACGAUACGUAGCUGGUCUGAGAGGAUGAUCAGCCACACUGGAACUGAGACACGGUCCAGACUCCUACGGGAGGCAGCAGUGGGUAAUAUUGGACAAUGGGCGCAAGCCUGAUCCAGCCAUACCGCGUGGGUGAAGAAGGCCUUCGGGUUGUAAAGCCCUUUUGUUGGGAAAGAAAAGCAGCAGGUUAAUACCCCGCUGUUCUGACGGUACCCAAAGAAUAAGCACCGGCUAACUUCGUG
rnacentral:rRNA from 1 species